rnacentral:rRNA from 1 species
AUGGGGUGCAGCAGGCGAGAAAACUUUGCAAUGUGCGAAAGCACGACAAGGUUAAUCCGAGUGAUUCCUGCUAAAGGAAUCUUUUGUUAGUCAUAAAACCACUAAUGAAUAAGGGGUGGGCAAGUUCUGGUGUCAGCCGCCGCGGUAAAACCAGCACCUCAAGUGGUCAGGGUGAUUAUUGGGCCUAAAGCAUCCGUAGCCGGCUCUGUUAGUUUUCGGUUAAAUCCAUAUGCUCAACAUAUGGGCCGCCGGGAAUACUACAAAGCUAGGGAGUGGGAGAGGUAGACGGUACUCCGUAGGAAGGGGUAAAAUCCUUUGAUCUAUGGAUGACCACCAGUGGCGAAGGCGGUCUACCAGAACACGUUCGACGGUGAGGGAUGAAAGCUGGGGGAGCAAACCGGAUUAGAUACCCGGGUAGUCCCAGCUGUAAACUAUGCAAACUCAGUGAUGCAUUGGCUUGUGGCCAGUGCAGUGCCGCAGAGAAGUCGUUAAGUUUGCCGCCUGGGAAGUACGUACGCAAGUAUGAAACUUAAAGGAAUUGGCGGGGGAGCAC